AUUGAACGCUGGCGGCAUGCCUUACACAUGCAAGUCGAACGGUAACAGGGAGCUUGCUCCGCUGACGAGUGGCGAACGGGUGAGUAAUGUAUCGGAACGUACCUUUCAGUGGGGGAUAACGCAGCGAAAGUUGCGCUAAUACCGCAUAUUCUGUGAGCAGGAAAGCAGGGGAUCGCAAGACCUUGCGCUGAUUGAGCGGCCGAUAUCAGAUUAGCUAGUUGGUGAGGUAAUGGCUUACCAAGGCGACGACGGGUAGCUGGUCUGAGAGGACGACCAGCCACACUCGCACUGAGACACGGGCGAGACUCCUACGGGUGGCUG
rnacentral:rRNA from 1 species